GAUCCUGGCUCAGGACGAACGCUGGCGGCGUGCUUAACACAUGCAAGUCGAACGAAGAGCGAUGGAAGCUUGCUUCUAUCAAUCUUAGUGGCGAACGGGUGAGUAACGCGUAAUCAACCUGCCCUUCAGAGGGGGACAACAGUUGGAAACGACUGCUAAUACCGCAUACGAUCCAACCUCGGCAUCGAGGAUGGAUGAAAGGUGGCCUCUAUUUAUAAGCUAUCACUGAAGGAGGGGA
rnacentral:rRNA from 1 species